rnacentral:rRNA from 1 species
GCUCAGGACGAACGCUGGCGGCGUGCCUAAUACAUGCAAGUCGAGCGGACAGAUGGGAGCUUGCUCCCUGAUGUUAGCGGCGGACGGGUGAGUAACACGUGGGUAACCUGCCUGUAAGACUGGGAUAACUCCGGGAAACCGGGGCUAAUACCGGAUGGUUGUUUGAACCGCAUGGUUCAGACAUAAAAGGUGGCUUCGGCUACCACUUACAGAUGGACCCGCGGCGCAUUAGCUAGUUGGUGAGGUAACGGCUCACCAAGGCGACGAUGCGUAGCCGACCUGAGAGGGUGAUCGGCCACACUGGGACUGAGACACGGCCCAGACUCCUACGGGAGGCAGCAGUAGGGAAUCUUCCGCAAUGGACGAAAGUCUGACGGAGCAACGCCGCGUGAGUGAUGAAGGUUUUCGGAUCGUAAAGCUCUGUUGUUAGGGAAGAACAAGUGCCGUUCAAAUAGGGCGGCACCUUGACGGUACCUAACCAGAAAGCCACGGCUAACUACGUGCCAGCAGCCGCGGUAAUACGUAGGUGGCAAGCGUUGUCCGGAAUUAUUGGGCGUAAAGGGCUCGCAGGCGGUUUCUUAAGUCUGAUGUGAAAGCCCCCGGCUCAACCGGGGAGGGUCAUUGGAAACUGGGGAACUUGAGUGCAGAAGAGGAGAGUGGAAUUCCACGUGUAGCGGUGAAAUGCGUAGAGAUGUGGAGGAACACCAGUGGCGAAGGC